rnacentral:lncRNA from 1 species
CUAGGCCAAUUCAAGACUCCUAGAUGCACUAACAACCCUGUCCUCGUCAAAAUUCUUAGUGCAUGCACCAUUAAAACAUUUCGCAGCACUGCUUAUAGUUCAACCCAUUCAUGAUAUGCGUCAUUGUUCUUUUCUUCAUGCACAUCUAUCAUUUUUAAAUAUUCUACUCAAUAUCCAUUUUUUUUUUCUUUUAUGUAACAUUAUAUUAUCUAUAUUUUUCUCAAAAUCUAAUGGUUUGUUUGUUUUUAUGGAUGUACUCUUCACAAGUAAAGAUGUGAGAGUAUAUCCCUUAUUUGAAUUCAUGGUUUUGCGGAGAAGAGAAGAGAUGAUAUAAGACUUUAAAAAACGAAAAAAAUUGAUUUGC